rnacentral:lncRNA from 1 species
AUGAUGCUGAUCACUGGACCGAACCUCUGUGAGGAGGACACAGAGAGACAGACCUUCACAACAGCGCUGUUUCUCUCGUCUCCUGGACCUCACGCCGUUCUAAUGCUCCUGAAUCUGGAAGAUCAACAAUCACAACAGUGUGAUAUUGUGAAACGAGCUCAGGAGCUGCUGGGAGCAGAAGUCCUGCAGUACUGCAUUGUUCUUCUGCUGCAAAAUCACCAGGAACCUUUCACAGGAGCCUCCAGAGAAAUGAUCGAUGCAUGUGGAGGAAGAUUUCUCAUCAUAAGAGACUCUGAACCUAAACCUGCUCAAAGAGCAGCUCUCGUAGCAGAAAUACACAAGUUAGUUUGGCUCAACGAUCACAGAUUUUACUCAGUAGUGACUCAAGGGUUGGAUGCAGAAGAGUCCAGUCAAAGUGUGCAUGAAGAAAAUAAGAUGCUCUCUGAAAAACAUGACAAUUCAGCAGGAACUGCACGAUGGAUUUUACUAAUUUUACUGAACACUGCUUUUAUUUUCACUAAAGUAAGACAUGAACAUUUUCAUUUUGCGGAAAUACUCUUCGUGCUUGUUAUUUUUACCGUCACUUUAAGAGAGACUCUCAAUCCAGAUGUUUCUGUUCCUUUAAAUUUGAUUGUAUCCUCAACUUUCACAGUAGCCUCUGCAUAUAAAGACUUCGCAAAUUCACGACAUGGACACCAAAUCAUAAUGUUUUUAGUCAUGAUCUUUACAUUUCCCAGUAUAGUGUUCAUAGCCGGUCUAGGACUGACUGUAGGAACAGCGGUCAGUGUACGGACGUGGUCAGAUGUGCUCAUAGCGUGCCACGCUGCUCCCGGAGUCACAUUCGGGGCUCAUUUAUACACGGUUUACUCCAUUAUACCUGAUCAAAUGCAAGCUCGUACAACUCUCAUUUUUGCACUCAAGUUAUUCCUGUUCUGUUUCGUUGGAGUGAUGCUCUCGAUGGGGUUUGUGACUGUAUUUGCUCUGUUUGGAGUGAAGAUGACAAUAUUUCUGCUAAUAUUAGGAUUUACAAAAAUGUAUUUCCAUUUAAAGAGUCUUUCUCUGAAAUUGUUUAUUUUUUCCUGCUUUUUCCAUGCUGUUGUGUAUUUAUUGGUUCUUUAA